rnacentral:rRNA from 1 species
GAUGAACGCUAGCGACAGGCUUAACACAUGCAAGUCGAGGGGCAGCAGGGAUAAACUUUCGGGUUUAUUUGCUGGCGACCGGCGCACGGGUGAGUAACGCGUAUGCAACCUACCUAUCAGCGGGGGAUAGCCCAUUGAAAGAUGGAUUAAUACCGCAUAAAACAGGGUUUCCGCAUGGGAAUAUUUGUUAAAGAUUCAUUGCUGAUAGAUGGGCAUGCGUUCCAUUAGUUAGUUGGUAGGGUAAUGGCCUACCAAGACAUCGAUGGAUAGGGGUUCUGAGAGGAAGGUCCCCCACACUGGUACUGAGACACGGACCAGACUCCUACGGGAGGCAGCAGUGAGGAAUAUUGGUCAAUGGGCGAGAGCCUGAACCAGCCAAGUCGCGUGAAGGAUGACUGCCCUAUGGGUUGUAAACUUCUUUUAUUGGGGAAUAAAAAAGGGAACGUGUUCUCUAUUGUAUGUACCUAAAUGAAUAAGCAUCGGCUAACUCCGUGCCAGCAGCCGCCGUAACAC